UGACUCUUCACGCAGAGUUUACAAGUGAUUAUGAUAUCGUAGUUUAGUACACGGGGGCGUGUUCGUACAGCGUUCGUGGACGGUCGGGCCGUCGUCGUUCUCCUCGUUCUCCCCGGCGGCGUCGGUGUUCAUCGGAGUGCUCAGCGGCGUUCGCCGCUCAGCGCAAGGGCGGAUCGUCGAGGCCUUGGAUGGCGCCCUCGCCGCCGCCGUGGUUGCGGAGGUCGAUGGAUCUGCGACGGACGGGCUCGUCGAUCGAGUUGCGGCGGCUGUCGUUGGAGAGGUUGACGGAGGAGCGAGGCGAGCGCGCGCGGGGUUCGCCGUCGUCGUCGUGAAUGUCGGGCGCGCCCCAGCCCUGCCAGUCGCCAGAGUCUGUGUAACAAAAGGAGACGAAAUGACGAAAUGGUCCGAAAUGCGCAGCGUUUCGCACGAGCCAAAAAAAAAAAAAAAAAGGCGCAGCGUGAGCUGGCAAAAUUUGCGUGACGGGUCGAGAGCGUUGAACCGGCGGGGAGGGUCGGCAUCGGGCGCCCGAGACGGCUCAAACGGAAGGACCGACGAGAUACGACACGUACGUGACGCUCGCGGAUGUCCGUCGGGGAGGCGAUACGCGGAAACGCGGGUCGCGAAGCGCGCUGCGGGUCGCAUCGCGGCGGAAAAAUAUCCCGCGAGGUUCCCGGGAAAAAAAAAGGUACGGGCGAAUGGUUCAGGCCUUGGCGCUACGUGGGGUACUCACCGCCGUGUCCCAGCUUGGUCGCGGCUUGGCCCAUGUUUGUCAGUGCUCGAGUGCUGGACGUGUGAAAGUUUUGCGUCGAUGCGCGCGUCGGUGUGAGCGGUUUCCGGAGCGGAAUGAGGACGGUCUUUGAGAAAAAAAUCUGACUCGGAUGAAUCCAAUGUCCGCUUUUUUCCACGUCACGAGAUCCC
rnacentral:lncRNA from 1 species